ACGUAUGGAGCAAGCGUUAUCCGGAUUUACUGGGUGUAAAGGGAGCGUAGGCGGUCCUGCAAGUCUGAUGUGAAAGGCCGGGGCUCAACCCCGGGACUGCAUUGGAAACUGUAGGACUAGAGUGUCGGAGGGGUAAGUGGAAUUCCUAGUGUAGCGGUGAAAUGCGUAGAUAUUAGGAGGAACACCAGUGGCGAAGGCGGCUUACUGGACGACUACUGACGCUGAGGCUCGAAAGCGUGGGGAGCAAACAG
rnacentral:rRNA from 1 species